rnacentral:rRNA from 1 species
AUUGAACGCUGGCGGCAUGCUUUACACAUGCAAGUCGAACGGUAACAGGUUAAGCUGACGAGUGGCGAACGGGUGAGUAAUGCAUCGGAACGUGCCCGGUCGUGGGGGAUAACGCAGCGAAAGCUGCGCUAAUACCGCAUACGAUCUAAGGAUGAAAGCGGGGGACCGUAAGGCCUCGCGCGAUCGGAGCGGCCGAUGUCAGAUUAGGUAGUUGGUGGGGUAAAGGCUCACCAAGCCAACGAUCUGUAGCUGGUCUGAGAGGACGACCAGCCACACUGGGACUGAGACACGGCCCAGACUCCUACGGGAGGCAGCAGUGGGGAAUUUUGGACAAUGGGCGAAAGCCUGAUCCAGCAAUGCCGCGUGCAGGAAGAAGGCCUUCGGGUUGUAAACUGCUUUUGUACGGAGCGAAAAGGUCUCCUCUAAUACAGGGGGCUCAUGACGGUACCGUAAGAAUAAGCACCGGCUAACUACGUGCCAGCAGCCGCGGUAA